CCUACGGGAGGCAGCAGUGAGGAAUAUUGGUCAAUGGCCGGAAGGCUGAACCAGCCAAGCCGCGUGAGGGAGGAAGGCGCCGAGCGUCGCAGACCUCUUUUGCCGGGGGACAAAAGGCCGCACGGGUCCGGUUCUGAGUGUACCCGAAGAAAAAGCAUCGGCUAACUCCGUGCCAGCAGCCGCGGUAAUACGGAGGAUGCAAGCGUUAUCCGGAUUUAUUGGGUUUAAAGGGUGCGUAGGCUGUGAGGUAAGUCAGCGGUGAAAUGCCCCGGCUCAACGGGGCGAAGUGCCAUUGAUACUGUCGUGCUGGAAUGCGCAUGCCGUAGGAGGAAUGCGUGGUGUAGCGGUGAAAUGCAUAGAUAUCGCACAGAACACCGAUUGCGAAGGCAGCUUACG
rnacentral:rRNA from 1 species